rnacentral:rRNA from 1 species
UGAGGAAUAUUGGUCAAUGGGCGCAAGCCUGAACCAGCCAUCCCGCGUGCAGGAAGACGGCGCUAUGCGUUGUAAACUGCUUUUCCAGGGAGAGAAACUUGCGCACGUGUUGCGCAAUUGACGGUACCCUGGGAAUAAGCAUCGGCUAACUCCGUGCCAGCAGCCGCGGUAAUACGGAGGAUGCGAGCGUUAUCCGGAUUCAUUGGGUUUAAAGGGUGCGUAGGCGGACUGUUAAGUCAGUGGUGAAAUCCUGCAGCUUAACUGCAGAACUGCCAUUGAUACUGAUAGCCUUGAGAUUGGUUAAGAUAGGCGGAAUGUGUAAUGUAGCGGUGAAAUGCUUAGAUAUUACACAGAACACCAAUUGCGGAGGCAGCUUACUGAGCCGACACUGACGCUGAGGCACGAAAG